AUCUGCCCCCCAAGGGUGCAGCAUGGACCUCCUGAUCCACCCCAUUACCCCACAUCUGACCCACCUGGCACCCCACAUCUGACCCCAUUGGGUUCAGCAGGGUCCUCGUGCCCCACCCAUACCCUAUAUCCAACUUACUGGGGUGCAGCAGGGUCCGCCUGACCCAUCCUGCACCCCACAUCUAUCCCCACUGGGAUGCUGCAGUGUCUGCCUGACCUCAUACACCACAUCUGACCCUAUUGGGGUGCAGCACAGUCCUAACCCACCUCGUACCCACAUCUGACCCCACUGUGGUGUUGCAGGAUACUCCUAACCCACUCUGUGCCCCACAUCUGACCCCUUUGGGGUGCAGCACAGCCCUCCUGACCCACCCCACACCCCACGUUUGACCCUAUUGGGGUGCUGCAGGCUCUUACUGACCCCAUGUCUCCCAACUGACCCCAUACCCUCCAUCUGACACCUCAGGGCUGCAGGGUGGCACUGGGUUGUGCUCUGUGCGCUUGCGGCAGCUCACAUCUACCCUCACCUCACAUCCCCCUGAUUUGGAGACCCCUCUGGAGGGGACAUGAAGGGGAAUUUAAUCCGAGCCCUAUCCGACCCCACAGCCCAGGUUUGGGGCAGCACCCCCACCUCUGAUCCACCCCCAUCCCCACCGACACAAGCAGAGCAUUUGCACACAAAGCCACAGCCCACCAGAUCCCCCCCAAAACCCCACAGCUGAGCGGGCCCCCCCCCAUUCCAGGAGCCCUAUGGGGGGGGGGUCUCAGACCCCAAUCCCCUCCUCCCCCCCAGGACUGGGGACGUGCACAGGGCUCCGGCUGAGUGUGGCUCUGAGUCACGUCGGCAUUUGGCAGCGGUGCGAGGAGCGGCGUUGCCAGGCUGGAAAAGAUGACGGGCGCUGCGAUGGGGCGGGGGCACCGCGCUAUGGGGUGAUGUGGAGCCGCACAGCGGGACGUGGAACUGCUCACACCUCAAUAUCCCUAUGGGGGGGAACUAACGGUCCCACUGCCGGUGCUGGAAGCCCUGAAGUAGCCACCAACAGCUGCAGGGGUUGCACGGAGGGGCAUGGAGAGCAGCGUGGCACUGCAGGCGCAUUGCACUGCAUUGGGAGCGCCUCAGCCCCGCAGCAGCUACCCGUUGGCAGGGGCUGCUCAGCCUUCACCUGCACUCGUUUGCAAUGGGUGCAGCAGCAGAGCCCUGUGGGGAUCCCAGUGAUGGUUGUGGGGUGGGGGUGCACUGCAGUCCCACCACUGGGGCUCAAAUUGAGCCCUCCUGGACGGUUCUGCAGGGCUGUAAGCCUACAGUCAUCACUCACAAUGUCUUAUUUAUUUGGGGAGGGGGGGGGUUGGCCCCUUAGUUCUUCCCAGGUGUUAAUUAGGCAGAAGGUGUCAGCAGCAGAUGGUGAUGAUGGGCACACGGAGGCACAGACAACAGCUGCUGAUGGCUCUGAGCUCCAAAGCUGCAGCCAUGGGGGUCAAAUGGGGUGGGGGUGCAGCACAAAGGGGUGGAGGGUGAGCGGGGGGGGGACGGGGACCACAGCCACACAGCAGUGUGGUAAAGGAGCAGACAGGAGACGGUUCCAGCCAUCCAUCCUCGCACAAGUGGGGAAACUGAGGCAGGAGGGCAGCAGGAAACGUGUGGCCAAGCGAUGCUGCUGGUCCACGGCCGAGCUCAGGUGUGGGCAAAGAAAAGCGGUGCCGUUUAAUGGGCACAGAGAGCGAACGGCCUCGGCUGGCGUCCCAGGGGUGAGCACUGACAGAGCCUCAUUACUCCGGCAGCACCGCGAUUCGGGGGAGGUCAACAGCGCUGCGGAUCCACCGCGAUUGAGGCCUCGUCCCCCCGGGCAGUGCGGAACGGCAGCACGAGGAGGGGAGGUGGUGGGCAGCCCGAGCUCCGCUCUGCGUGAUGGAGCGAUGAGGGCUUUGUGUGCUCUCGGAUCGGUGCCACGAAGAUGUGGUGGCGUUGGGGGGGGGGACGACGACACUGAGUGCCUCCCCCCGUGUUGUUGUCCGGAACUGCAGGCGGCUGGAAGCAUCCAGCAGUUGGUGGGGGAAGGUGGGAGGGCAGAAGGAUGUGCAGGGAUGGAGGGGGCGUGGGGCAGGAAUGGAUGCAAUGCAGGAGGAGAUGCAGUGCAUGGCAGGAGGGUACGGGUGGGACAUGGUGCAGGAUGGGAUGCAGUGUAGGAGAGGAUCUGGUGGAGGGGAUGCAGUGCAAGGGAGGACAAAGUGCAGGAAGGGAUGCAGUGCAGGAGGGGAUGCAGCACAGAGGGGAGCAGUGCUGGAGGGAGUGUGGUGCAGGGCAGAACACGGUGCAGGAACGUGGUGCAGGAUGGGAUGUGGUGCAGGAGGGGAUGCAAUGAAGGAAGGGAGGGGUGCAGGAGGGGACGUGGUGGUGGUGGGGAUGCAGUGCAGGAGGGGAUGAGGUGCAGGAGAGCAGUGCAAGGCAGAACAGUGCAGCACGGGAUGCAGUGCAGGAAGGGACGCAGGGCAGGACGUGGUGCAGGAGGGGAUGCGGUGCAGAAAUGGAUGCAGCGCAGGAUUGGAUGCAGUGCAGGAGGGAAGGAAGUGAUUUCUCAUUCCGAGCCCAAUUCCUCUCCACCAUGAGCCGAUUUUUCUCUCCCUCUUUUAAUUCAGUCACUCAAGCUGACAGCUACACUGUGUACCACAGCCCCGCUACAGGAUUGCUCUGCCAUAUUUCCCCUGUAAAUCUCCCGGCGUUGUCAGCUCUCCCUUUCACUCUCCAGCCGCCCUGAUAAAUAUUCAUUUUAUUGGGGGUAUUUUUCAUCUCUCUCCCUCUCCCUGCAGCUCGUUCCCCUCAUUGGCUUCAUCAGCGUGGGGCUGGGCAGCGCUGUGCUGUACCUGCUCAGGUUGGCACUGUACAGCCCCGACAUCAGUUCAUAGCGGUUUCCACCGACUACAAGAACCUCAAGAAGGAGCGGCCCAGCUUCUGAGCAGCCCCAUGCAGCUGCCCUGCAACCCCCUCCUCCCACGUUGUGCUCCUUGUUCCCCCCCAGCUCACACCUCCUGCAUGAACCGGGCAGCAAUAAAUUCCCAGGGGGGUGCA